GAACAGGAAGUCCCGACUUCUCCUCUCUGAGCGGAAGCGAGGCUGCGGGUGGUGGCUUGGUCUUGCUGCGUGGCCAGUCCACUACCCCACUUGGAAAUGGAUUUUUAGUGCCCAGAGUGCUGGCCCUGGAGUCAGGAAGACCCAAGUUCAAGUUUGGCCUCAGACACUUAAUAGAGGGUCUGGCUUCCCAGGAGGGUGCUGAAGGCUCAGGGGUUUGCUCAGAUCAACCUCUCCGGUGGGCUUCCCAAACAGAAGUGAGUUCAACUGUUUGGAUCUUCUCAGUUUCUCUGUUCCUUCUCCUGAAUUCUCUCUCCUUCAUGCCCUUCCUUCCAGCAUGAUAAGUCUGCUUUCCUCUCUUACAUAAAUUAUGCCCUUUGUGUUUCUAUUUGUCAGUUCUUUCUCUGGAGCUGGACAUUUACAAAUUAUUCUUCAAAUAUUAAUUCUGUAGCUACAUGUAUUGUUUUCUUGGUUCUACUUAUUUCACUCUUCAUAAUUUUAUGUAGGUCUUAAGUUUUUUUUUUAAUUAACUCACUCCUUAUUUCUUAUGUUGCAGUAGUAUUCCAUCCUAAUAAUAUGCCACAGCUUGUUGAGCCAUUCCCCAAUUGACGGUCAUCCCCGUGAUUUCCAGCUCUUUGCCAUUACAAAGAGAACUAAUAAAAAUAUUUCAGAGCAUAUAGUUUCUUUUCCUUUUUCCCCUGAUCUCCUUGGGAAACAGAUACUAUAGGGAUACUGUUGGGUCUAAGGUAACACACAGUUUUAUAACUGGACAUAACUCCAAAUUUCUCUCCAAAAUGAACAAAAUAACAGUUCUGCCAACAGCGUAUGUGUCUCCAUUUCUCCACAUCCCCUCCAACAUUUGUGAUUUUGCCAUUCUAUAUUUUAGCUAAUUUGAUAAAUGUGAAAUGAUAUCUCAGAAUUCUUUUGAUUUGCAUUUCUCUAAUCAGUAAUGAUUUAGAACUUUUUUCAAAAGCCUACAUAUGGUUUUGACUUCUUCAUCCAAAAACUAUUUGAUCAUAUCUUUGACCAUUUAUCAAUUGGGGAUGGUUCUUAUUUUUACAAAUUUGACAAAGUUCUCUAUUUUAGGUAUGAGAUGUCUAUCUGAGAAACUGUCUAUAAAAUAUCAACCUCCCCCCCCCCCAUUUUCUGCUUUCCUUCUAAUCUUAGCUACAUUAGUUUUAUUUGUACAGUAUCUAUUUUUCCUGUAAUGGUUACAUCUAACAAGGCUCUCUUUCUCUUGCUUAUUCAUAAAUUCCUCUCCUAUCAUAAAUCUAAUAGGUAAUACAUUCCCUGUUCUUCUCAUUAGCUUAUGAUAUCUCUCUUUAUAUCUAGGUCAUGUGUCCAUUUUGAUCUUAAUGAAUAGUGUAAGAUAUUAGCCUAUAUCUGGUUUCUGCCAAACUAUUUUUCAAUUAUCUCAGCAUUUUUAAACAAAUAAUAAGUUCUUAUCACAAAAACUUGGAUCUAUACUUUUGUCAUAUAUAAGGUACUAUUAUAAUCUUUUAUCACUCUUUGUUGAAUGUCUGUUCUGUUCAACUGAUCCAGCUUUCUAUUUGUUAUCAAGUACUAGAUAGUUUUGAUAAUUACUGCUUUAUAAUACAGUUGUGUGAACUUAUUUUUGAAAACUAUUUUUAUAAGUUUACUUCAAUAUAAUUAGUUUCUGUUCUAAUCCUAUGCACUUAAAAAAAAUACAACGCAACAUUAUUCUUAGGAGUCCAUGACA